GGCGCUGUGGCGGAGUGGUCCAACGCGAAAGAUUCGAAUUCCCCUGGGACAUCUUUUCCCUUAGGGGGCACCGGUUCGAAUCCGGUCGGCGUCG